rnacentral:rRNA from 1 species
GUGGGGAAUUUUGGACAAUGGGGGCAACCCUGAUCCAGCCAUGCCGCGUGAGUGAAGAAGGCCUUCGGGUUGUAAAGCUCUUUUGUCUGGGAAGAAAAGGCGUCGUCGAAUACACGGCGUUCUUGACGGUACCGGAAGAAUAAGCACCGGCUAACUACGUGCCAGCAGCCGCGGUAAUACGUAGGGUGCGAGCGUUAAUCGGAAUUACUGGGCGUAAAGCGUGCGCAGGCGGUUCGUGAAGUCCGAUGUGAAAGCCCUGGGCUCAACCUAGGAACGGCAUUGGAAACUGGCGGGCUAGAGUGUGGCAGAGGGGGGUGGAAUUCCUGGUGUAGCAGUGAAAUGCGUAGAGAUCAGGAGGAACACCGAUGGCGAAGGCAGCCCCCUGGGCUAACACUGACGCUCAGGCACGAAAGCGUGGGGAGCAAACAGGAUUAGAAACCCCGGUAGUCC